rnacentral:rRNA from 1 species
UACGGAGGGUGCAAGCGUUAUCCGGAUUUACUGGGUUUAAAGGGUGUGUAGGCGGACUUUUAAGUCAGCGGUGAAAUCUCCGGGCUCAACCCGGAAACUGCCAUUGAUACUAUUGGUCUUGAAUAUUGUUGAGGUGGGCGGAACGGGUCAUGUAGCGGUGAAAUGCAUAGAUAUGACCCGGAACACCGAUUGCGAAGGCAGCCCACUAAGCAAUGAUUGACGCUGAGGCACGAAAGCUAGGGGAGCGAACGGG